rnacentral:rRNA from 2 species
CCCGGUGACCAUAGAGCAGCGGUCCCACCCGUUCUCAUUCCGAACACGGCCGUGAAACGCUGUCUCGCCGAUGGUAGUGCCUGUAUAGCUUGCGCGAGAGUAGGUUGUUGCCGGGU